CUUGGUUCAAUUUAUUCCUAAGUGUUUUGCUGUUUUUGCUGCUAUUGUAAAUGAAAUUGAUUUCUUUUUCUUUUUCAGAUAUUUCUUUGUUAGUGUGUAGAAACACAACUGGUUUGUGUAUGUUGAUUUUGUAUCCUGAAACUUCACUGAAUUUGUUGAGUAGUUCUAACAGUUUCUUUGGUGCAGUCUUAGGAUUUUCUAUAUAUAAGAUAUCAUCUGCAAGGAAAGACCAUUUUUCUCUUCCCUAUUUGAUUUGGAUGACUUUUAUCUUUUUCCUGCCUAGUUUUUCUGGCUAAGACAUCUAGUACUAUGUUUAAUAGGUGUGGUGAGAGUGGGUACCCUUGUCUGGUUCUUGAUCUUAGAGGAAAAUCUUUCAAACUUUUGCCAUUGGUAUGAUGUGGGCUUGUCAUACAUGGCCUUUGUUAUGUUGUUGUAUGUUCCUUCUAUACCAAAUUUGUUGAGCAUUUUUAUAACGAAAAGAUGUUGUAUUUUGUCAAAUGCUUUUCCUGCAUCUAUUGAGAUGACCAUAUGAUUUUUUUUCCUUUCAUUCUACUUGAAGAAGCAGUCACUUCUUCCAGACUUUUGGGCUGACUUUGGUAAGGAAAGACCCUCACUUGCAGGUGGGGGCAGGCUGAAGUGUAGUGUGACCCUGGGUCUAGUCAUGUAGGGUGCCAAGUACAGGGAUGUGUGGUGACUCCCAGCCCAGGAGAGUGAUGUCUUGUUGGUUCAGGCUGCUUGGGUCCGCAACAUUGACAACUGUGUGGUCCUUGUCAAGUGUUGUGGGGCUCUGCAGUGGCUGCAAGGGCUGUGGCGUCCUCAGUGCCACCUCUAAGUCCAGUGGCUGGGGACCAGGGUGGGCAGUGGUAGUGGCCACAGCAUGAAGAAUGCAUGCACUUGGCUGUGGAGGCCAGCUGCAGCUGCUUUGUAGUGGCAGGGGCUGGUUGUAGCCCCAUGUGUACUAAUGGGGGCCAGGGCCAGCAGAAGAGACCAGGGUCAACUCUGGGUGCACUAGUAGCUGCCGUGGCCCUGGCUGUUGGUGUGUACUCCUGCAGUGCAGGGUCUCCCUGCAGGCACACACACGGCAGUGGAGGGUGGUGACAAGGCUCAGGUUGGGGGUAUGCAGGUGCACUGCUGGGGAGUCUGUUGUAGAUGCACGCAGUGGUACAGGCCAGCAACUGGAGAUAAGGCCAAAUCUAGGCCCACAAGCAGCUGUGAGUGCCUUGGUUGUUGGUGUGCACUUCUGUCGCUACAAGAUCUCACCACAGGCACACACACAGAAGUAGCGACUGGCGACAUGAGUCAGACUGGUGAUGUGCAAGUGCACAGCUGGAGGGGCUAGCCCCAAGUGUGCGCACAGUGGUGGGGGUCAGUUAUGGGUGUCUAGGCUGGUGUCUUGCAUUCAUGCAGAUGCAGGGGCCUGGGCUGGCUGUCAGCAUGGAUCCUAGGCUCCUACAAGGCCUUGGGGAAGGGAGCCAGGACCCACUCAGGUGGUUGGUGCAUACCUAUGGAGUGAAAACCAGUGAAAUUUUCAGGGGACCCGCAGCAGCUGCAGUGGCCAUUGGUUUUUUCAGUGGUGAAAGCUGCUGGGGUCCUCUGCACAGAAGGGCAUUAGGAAUCGCAGUUGCUCCCACUGUGUGGCUGAUACCUGUAGCCCAUGCUGUUCUUCCUUGUUCUCAGCCAUUUCUAUACAUCUCGUUUUUGCUGGUCUCCAGUGGGGUAAAACCAAAAUGGGUCCUUUGUUCAGUGCUCCGAAAGGCUGGGAAGCUGGUCACUCACUCUGCUCUCCCUUUCCAGGAGGGGAACUUUUUCUAGCUGGGGAGCUCCCUUUCAGCACUGAGCAGUGCCAGCCUGGGGGAUGGCAUGAGGCAGACAAAACAAAGCUGUUCUUCCUUCCCUUUCUGUGCAGUUUUUCUCGGGCUUUUUGUUCCACUGUGUUGUUGAAGUUUUUUAAGUUGACUCUGGGGCUUUCUUCGAGCUGUUUUUGGUCAUGGAUAGCUGUCUAAUUGCUGAUCAUUGUUGGGGGAUAGAGGCUGGGGUCUCCUACUUCACCAUUUUUGUGACAUCUCUCCAGAAUGAUUUCUAUGAUCCCUUUUACUUUAGGACUUAAGAGCCAUAAUGAGGAUUCUGCAAUUUCUUGGAAAGUUAUGCUGUUGAUUUCUCAAAGAAAGUUGUCGCUAAUACUGAUGAUAAAUGAAAGUUUUGUAAAACAAUUUAACUGGAGACAAAUAUUCCCAAUCUACUUAUGCAAAGAGCCAGAGAUAAUAAUUGAGUAAGUUGCAGAAUUUGGAUGAAACUGAAAUAAUGAAACUAUUUAUUGGCUGCAGCUCGUUACACAGGUCCUAGAAAUACUGUCCUAUCACUACAUGCUUGUGAGAAAAUGCUAAAGGGGCUUGGAUGUAUUAAAUUCUACAUUCUUAAAAUGGGUUCCCAUGGUGGUUAUAUGGUGACAAGUUGACAUGGUAGAAUGAAGAGAUAAAACUAGCUGGUGAAGGGUUGUACCUUCAUAGUCCAAUUUAAUUAUAGAAAACAAACGCACAGAUGGUUUUCAAUAACAUAAAUAAAAUUCUAGCAUUUUAUCUUGCGGCAUUUAUGAAUGAAAUAAAGGACCACUCGUUUUCCAUCCUUUCUUAGUUUCUUUGAUUCUAGGGUCUGUGCUUUUUCUCCAUGUACCAAAUGUCUCCCUAGGAGAUUCCCAUAUUAGGACAUCUACUGUGGUGGUCAUUUCUGCCUUAGCAAGGAUAAGUUGGUCAUAUUAACUAGCUGAGAAAACAGACAGUGGGCUAUCAUGUGACAGUUGACAGGUAAGUCUUGCUAAGAAGCAGGCAUGUGGGAUACAGACAUAAAAUAGAUUUUUGGGAAACAUAGUGGAGCAAAAUUUGAAAUUUGCCUUUCAGUACAACCUCCUUUUUCUUAAAACAUUCUCCUUUCCACAGUCACCACACUCUGGAAUCUCAUGCUGCUUAAUUUAUGAUCAAUUCAUUUAUACAAAUGUGUAACAAUACAUUUUCCUUCCUAAAAGCAUUUGCGCCUUUAAAAAAAUGCUAUUUUGUUUAACUCAAGAAAUGCAUUGCUAAUAGGGACAGUCAAGGCUAUGGGGAAAGAGUCAUUUGAAGGAGGUUUGGGGAAAGCCAGCGAUAGAAACUUCACCUGGACUUCCUGGACAGGUAGAAGGAAGUUCAAAGGGACAGGGAAGCUGUGUGUACUGAGGGGAGAGUCGAUGGUAAGAACUGAAAAGAUAAAAAUGCUGACCAUCACCAAUGGAUGCAAGUCACGGAGAAGGUAAACUAGGGUGAUGGUGUUGGAAGGAUAAAAUUGGCUUUAGUUCUGGAGAUUGUCUGAUAACUCUUAUCUUCAAACUUUUGAAGGACAAAGUCAGCUCCUUCCCAUUUUGUGAUGCACAGCUUGGGUUCAAGAGAGGACCCAUUCCAGGCCAGGAGCAGAUCCACGAGGCCUUGUGAGAAGAGGCCAGGCUUCCCCGGAAUUCAGUCUUCUCUUCUAGGUCUUUAGUCUUGGCAUAUUUCAACCAACGUACGUUCCAUGAAUAUUCUAUUCAUGAACAUUUUUAAAACUUUUCUUUUGUGGAAAAGUUUCAAACGUACACAAAAGUAGAGAGAACAGUAUAAUGAACCGCAUGUACCAGCUUCACCCAAUUUCAACAAUUAUUAAUAUUUCUUGGACUUAUUUCCUGUAAUCCCACAUAAUACUCCCCUCAUUCCCUUUUACGCUAAAGUACUGUGAAGCAAAUCCCAGACAGCAUGUCAUUUUACCUGUAAAUACUUCAGUAAAAUCAUGGCCAUCUUAAUUUAAUAAUCAUAGAUAGAGGAAGGAGAAUAAAAUAGAUUAUUAUAGUUUACAUUUAUUAGUUCUACUGUGUUCAGAACUCUGUGCUAAGCAUUUUUGCAUUGCAUUAUUUUAUGUCAUUCUUUCACUCUUCCAGUCACUAGGCAUAACUGUUCUCACUUUUCUGAAGGGGAAACUGAAGCACUGAGAGGUGUAGUAAAUUGCCAAAGGCCACACAGCUAGGAGGCGAGGCAACUGGGAUUCAAAUGUUCUUUGUCUGCUCUGCAACUUGUGCCCUUGACCACUAUAUACAAAUGUUUCACCACUACAACAUCUGGUCUUAUGAAAAUAGACCCACGAGGAACAUCUUUGCAUGGGUGAAAGAACUGCUUUGCAUAAAACUAUUUGUUCUAUUGCUUAGGGCCUUAUAUAAAUUCCUCGUUGAUUGAGCAUGUUUGGGCAGAAGGCGUCUUGGCGUCAGAGUCAUGCGUCUUUAGAUUGGCACAUUGUUCUGUCACAUUAUGGUUGUGAGACUUUGGGAAAGAAGAAUUGACCAGGGGAAUUCAUGUUGUCGGAUUCUGGUACACACACAAUUAUGUUUCUGCCCUUCUUGAAUGGGAAUGAAGCAGCAAUGCCCAAAAUUCUCACCCCAUCCAGACUACUUAAUAUAAGUGCUGAAUGAAGGAACAGAUAGUAAUUGCUAAAUCCAACGUUCAAAUGGAAGCCCAUCCUGUAACAAAAGCUGCGCUGUUCCUGUUCAUCAAUCCAUGGGACCGUGGAGAAAGGAGAAUGUGCUGGGAGCCCUGCCUAAUGAAAUACGCCAAUGAUGUGUUCUUCAGCACAGGAGUGAUAUAUCAGGGGGCACAGGAUGAACCAGUUUUUACUUUGAUUUUGGAAAGAGAGUUGGCUUUGAUAAUUUAUACAAACAAUUUUCUCUUUAUACCACAUAUCAUCUUUUAUUGAAUAACAGGAAAUAAAAAUGAAAUGGC
rnacentral:lncRNA from 1 species